AUUGAACGCUGGCGGCAGGCUUAACACAUGCAAGUCGAACGAGUGGCGGACGGGUGAGUAGUGUAUUGGGAUCUGCCUGAUGGAGGGGGAUGACUACUGGAAACGGUCGCUAAUACCGCAUACCAUCCGUUGAAGCCAUGUGGGAGUAGCUUGUAGGUGAGGUAACGGCUGACCUAGGCGACGAUCCCUAGCUGGUCUGAGAGGAUGAUCAGCCACACUGGGACUGAGACACGGCCCAGACUCCUACGGGAGGCAGCAGUGGGGAAUAUUGCGCAAUGGGCGAAAGCCUGAUGCAGCCAUGCCGCGUGUAUGAAGAAGGCCUUCGGGUUGUAAAGCACUUUCAGUCGGGAGGCGGUACCGACAGAAGAAGCAACGGCUAACUCCGUGCCAGCAGCCGCGGUAAUAC
rnacentral:rRNA from 1 species